rnacentral:snRNA from 1 species
GUGUUCGCUUCGGGAGCACAUGUACUAAAAUCGGAACGAUACAGAGAAGAUAAGCGUGGCCCCUGUGCAAGGAUGACACGCAAAUUCGUGAAGCAUUCCAUAUAUUU